GACGAACGCUGGCGGCGUGCCUAACACAUGCAAGUCGAACGGAAAGGCCCUGCUUUUGCGGCGUGCUCGAGAGGCGAACGGGUGAGUAACACGUGGGUAACCUGCCCUUGACUUUGGGAUAACAUCAGGAAACUGGGGCUAAUACCCGAUAGGAGCUCCUGCUGCAAGGGGUGGGUUGGUAAGUUCCGGCGGUUGGGGCUGGUCUGGAAGCCUAUCAGCCUGUUGGUCGGGUAGGGGCUUACCAAGUGUUUGACGGGUAGCCCGCCUUAGAGGGUGGCCGGCCCCGUUAGUACUACGGUACGCCGCAGACUCCUCCGGGACGCAGCAGUCGACAAUAUUGCACAGUACCCCGAAGCGGGUGCCGACGACCACGGGUGCGGCAAGACCGCUUUCUAGUUGUAAACAGCUUUCGACUGUGACGAAACGUGAUUGACGGUAAUGGGUAAAGAAGCACCGGCUAACUACGUG
rnacentral:rRNA from 1 species